UACGAACGGUGCAAGCGUUACUCGGAAUCACUGGGCGUAAAGCGCACGUAGGCGGACUCGUAGGUCAAUUGUGAAAUACCUGGGCUCAACCCGGGAACUGCGUCCGAUACUGGCAGGCUUGAAUUCGGGAGAGGGAUGUGGAAUUCCAGGUGUAGCGGUGAAAUGCGUAGAUAUCUGGAGGAACACCGGUGGCGAAGGCGGCAUCCUGGACCGAUAUUGACGCUGAGGCGCGAAAGCGUGGGUAGCAAACGGG
rnacentral:rRNA from 1 species